rnacentral:rRNA from 1 species
UACGUAGGGUGCAAGCGUUGUUCGGAAUUACUGGGCGUAAAGGGCCAGUAGGCGGCCAACUAAGUCGGAUGUGAAAUCCCCAGGCUUAACCUGGGAACUGCAUCCGAUACUGGAUGGCUUGAAUUCGGGAGAGGGAUGCAGAAUUCCAGGUGUAGCGGUGAAAUGCGUAGAUAUCUGGAGGAAUACCGGUGGCGAAGGCGGCAUCCUGGACCGACAUUGACGCUGAACGGCGAAAGCUAAGGGAGCAAACGGG